CAAAAUUCAAGCAGCCAGUGGGGUACACCAUAAAAGUAGACGGUGACAGAAUCCAUGGAACUGUAGGACAUCCUGCUGGUGUUGGAGAAUUGCUUGGUGUCGGGGAAGGCGUCACAAGUCAGACUGGGUGCAGAACAGUCAGCAACCAGGGUUUCUUGGUACUUUGCUGCAAGCCUGUUUGCUGUAGACAUCUUUGCCACAAGUGUUUUCGCUGCAUAACCACUUGGCCCUAUGGCAAUUUUGCCGUAAAAGAUAAAAAUCACGAAAAAUAAAAGAGGGCCAUUCAUUCCAAAGGAUGCAACAAAACGUGAAAAAGAUGAAUAGCAAAAUUAAAAGGACUUUAUUGUGAAAUACAAAAGAUUUGAAUAGGUUUAAAAUAUGUGUCUGGAGAUUCACGGCAGUCCUGCCCAAAGAACCAGUUUUAUUUUGUGUGUGUGGAUUGCACCUCACUAAGCACCUUCCUUUGUUCCGUGGGACAUGUGGGUUCAACUCUGCCCCCUCGAAGAAGAGGCCUCGGCCCUCUUCUCCUCCUCCAAUAUAGUGUGAUUCAAAAUAAGAAACAACUCUUGGGGCAAAUCAUCGACACGGUCAGCUCGAUGAAGCCAUCAGUAAGACACUGACUGGAAGAAAUGCCAAGUAUUUUAGACCGCUACCGUCACCACCAUGUCUGCAGGUCACCGUGGAGACCACUCUGAGGGCUAGCCAAGAUUUAUAGCAUAUAAAAAUGGGAGGAACUGUGAGAACUUCGUCAAUGGAGAAGUGAAACCAAACUGGAAAAAAAAGACAAAACUGUCAACCAGUUAUGUUCUUUUCUUUUAUGGCGGUUGAUUCGUCAAUGGAGAAAUAAAAG
rnacentral:lncRNA from 1 species